rnacentral:rRNA from 1 species
GACGAGGGAUCCUAGCGUUGUUCGGAAUUAUUGGGCGUAAAGCGGAUGCAUGUGGCUUUGUCAGUCAGGUGUGAAAUCCCAGGGCUCAACCCUGGAAGUGCAUUUGAUACUGCAAAGCUUGAGUGCUAGAGAGGUAAGUAGAAUUCCUGGUGUAGUGGUGAAAUGCGUAGAUAUUGGGAAGAACACCUGAGGCGAAGGCGGGUUGCUGGGCUGACACUGACGCUGAGGCGCGAAAGCCAGGGGAGCGAACGGG